rnacentral:rRNA from 1 species
AUGGAGCAGAUGGAGACCGAGGUUGCUGCCGAAGGAGCAGCUGGCGCUGACGAUCCCGCCGGUGCCGAGGCCGCCAAGGCUGCCGCCGCAGCAACUGGCGAGGGGUCUGGCGAUCGUACUGACGGUCCUGAGGCCGCAGGAGCGCCAGGCGCUACGCUUACCGCCGACCCGUCCACUGAUGCCGCAGCGCCAAACUCCGAGGAGCCCCAGCCAGGCGUCUAUUUGAAGGCCGGCGAUGACGUCUUCAUCAACCUCCCCUGGGCGUCAAGCUCCAGGGCGCCGGUUGAGGGAGAGAUCUUCGACGGGGAAAUGCUCGCCUCCGCUGGGUUGAUGGUGGUUGACACGCCAAGCAGCAGCAGCAACGAGCCUGAGGAGGAGCGGCUGCUGCGGAAGCUGGUGUCGCUCUACCGCGCGCGGCAAGCCAAGUUGGAGUCCCGCGAGGCGCUUGUCGCGAAGGCGGGAGCAGACAUCGAGAAGCGCGCGGAGGAGCUCCGGGGCUUCCAUCAGGAAGCUCGUCGGUCCUUGGCAGAGGAGCGGGAGCAACUCGACGAAGCGCAAAAGACUUUCCUCCUCGAGAAGGCUAAAGUUGAAGAGCAACAGCGGCUUGCCGCUGUGAAGCUAUCCACGGAGGAGGGAGAGCUGGCGCAGCGGAAGGUCAAUCUUGACGCCCACGAAGAGGAGCUUGCCGCGCGUGAGGAAAGACUUGGCGGAGCCCUCAAGCAAGCGAAGGAUGCUGCCGCCGCCGCCGAGGCCGCCAAGAAGGAGUUGGAGACGAGGGUGGCGCAGUUGGAGGCCGCUCUCGCCGAGAAGAGCAAAGAGCUCAGCGCCGCCAAGGACUCCAACACGGGUCUUGAGUUGAAGCUGACCGUUUUGACCAAGACGUUGGACAACGCCAAGAAGCAGGAGGCGGCCUUGAGGGAGGAGAUCAAGGCCGACAAGACGCUGCUAGAGAGUGUUGCCGCCACCCAAAAUGCCUUCAGGGAAACUAUGGAGCACUGGACGGAGAGUCUGGUGAAUGUUGCUGCGGAUAUCGACAGGGAGCUGGCGCAGCUGGGGGUGGCGGAUCUCGGGUAUCCCUCCGACGAGAGCCUCCAGCCCAGCGCCAAGGUCACCUUGUUCUUCAAAGGCGUGGCGACGGCCCUCCGACGACUCCGGGAGAGGAUCCCAAAGCAGCUGGCCGACGAGUCGCGCAAGAUCUGCGCGGGAGCCCUUCAAAAGGUGUUGAUGAAGGUGGCCUUCCGCAACCCGGGCCUCCGCCUCACCAAUGUCCUCAGGACCUUGCCGCCGGAUGCCGAUCUAGAGGAGCUCAAGGCCCUUGUCGCACCCAUUAUGGACAAGGUGAGCGGGAUCAAGAGGAUUGAGGGCGAUCGCGCAGACUAG